GGAGGACCAUCCUCCAAGCCUAAUACUACCUAGUGACCGAUAGCGUAUAGUACCGUGAGGGAAAGGUGAAAAGAACCCCGGGAGGGGAGUGAAAUAGAACCUGAAACCCUGCACUUACAAGCUGUGGGAGCACAUUACUUGUGUGACCGCGUACUUUUUGUAGAACGGGCCAACGAGUUACGUUAAGUAGCAAGGUUAAGCACUUAAGGUGUGGAGCCGUAGCGAAAGCGAGUCUUAAAUGGGCGUUAAGUUACUUGGCGUAGACCCGAAACCGGGCGACCUAUCCAUGAGCAGGUUGAAGCGAAAGUAAAAUUUCGUGGAGGACCGAACCCACGUAGCGUUGAAAAGCUCGGGGAUGACUUGUGGAUAGCGGUGAAAUUCCAAUCGAGCCCGGAGAUAGCUGGUUCUCCCCGAAAUAGCUUUAGGGCUAGCCUCAAGCGUAGAGAAACGGAGGUAGAGCACUGAAUGUCCUAGGGGGUAUUGCACUUACCGAAGACUAUCAAACUCCGAAUGCCGUAUUCUUUUGACUUGGGAGUC
rnacentral:rRNA from 1 species